GGAGAGCUCAUCAUUCCAAACAGUGCUCCUUUUGCUAGGCCACUCUCUUCUUCCUUGCAAGAAUUAAUUUACAGCUGUGGAAGAGUGUGACUGUCCCACUGAAAAGAAAUGCUACGGUUUGCUUGAGCAUGGAAAAAUCUGCCAUUCUAUGGGGAUUGAACUUCAGCAACAGAUGAUGAAGCUCAGAUGGGGAAGUGAGUGGAUUGUCCUUACAAUGUGGGAGAUCACUGCAAUGAUAAACACAGAGCUCCUCCAAAGGCACUGGAGCCAAGCAUAGGAAAAACUGAUGUGAGCAAGCAAGGACUGCUGAAUGGUGACAGUGAGCCUGUAUGCUGCUAUAUACAGACCUCUUCACAGUGGCCUCUGAUUUUUGCAAUCAGAUGAAGAACAGGAUGAAAGGUCUGGUUAAACCUCAUUUGUUUAAAAGAGUGGUCACCUGUGGCCCUGUGAGUUAUCUCUGGCCAGGUCCAGGACCAGAUAAUUAAUGAGGAGACAGGUUGGAACUUCUUGAUGGUCUGAUGAUUCUAGAAGCUGAUGCAUGCAGUGAAAUAGUAGCUAGCACGAAGAUUCAACACUGAGGAGUGGUGAUGUGCCUACUGGAGGUCUUGAGAACACUGCUGGUUCCUUCCAGGUGGAAGUGGAGAGUUUUGACAUGAGCUGGAGCAGAGUGGAGAGAAAAACACUGAGAAUCCCAGAAGUUCACCAGAAAAGCAGAUUUGGUUGAAAAGGCAUUUGUGGUGCUUCGGACAGAAUACGUGAGUUCACACUAGGGGACCUGCACUACAUUCCUGGAUGGUCUGCUGCCUUCUCCAAGUGCCUCAUACAGCAGGUUUCUUCUCGUCAUUGGAUGCUGCUGUACAACUGUAUCUUUAGCAGCCCUGUACAUCUGUGGAUCAAAUGUAUGAUCAUGAGGCAAAAGAAGAGAUGAAGUCUAUAAGGGAUCUCCUAACUAGAUAUGCCAGGCAUGAAAAGAGAUGAAUCAAAAUAAGAAUAAUUGAAGAAUACUCACCCUUUCCCUCAGGGAAAGAAUUAAGAGCAUCACUGCAACUGCUUGGAAACAGCCCAAAAGUCAAGCUGUCAGGAGAACGGCAAAAGAACAGAAUGCAGAGAAGCAAGAAAAAAAACCCACGUAACUGAAUUGCCAUCUGAACUAAAAACGCUGAAGAAAACGAAAUGACUAGACCAUUCAAUUUUUCAUUGGCCACAGAAUCCACUGCCCUCUCAUUGUCAGCCUCAGAGACCUUGUAUUUCAGUGAGUUACCACCCUUAUAUUGUACAAACCUCCAUCCUUUUGAUUCCUCCGACUCCUCGUCCACCAUAAUAGGAAGCAUCCAC